rnacentral:rRNA from 1 species
GACGAACGCUGGCGGCGUGCCUAAUACAUGCAAGUAGAACGCUGAAGGAGGAGCUUGCUCUUCUGGAUGAGUUGCGAACGGGUGAGUAACGCGUAGGUAACCUGCCUGGUAGCGGGGGAUAACUAUUGGAAACGAUAGCUAAUACCGCAUAACAGUAGAUGUUGCAUGACAUUUGCUUAAAAGGUGCAAUUGCACCACUACCAGAUGGACCUGCGUUGUAUUAGCUAGUUGGUGGGGUAACGGCUCACCAAGGCGACGAUACAUAGCCGACCUGAGAGGGGGAGCGGCCACACUGGGACUGAGACACGGCCCAGACUCCUACGGGAGGCAGCAGGAGGGAAUCUUCGGCAAUGGACGGAAGUCUGACCGAGCAACGCCGCGGGAGGGAAGAAGGUUUUCGGAUCGUAAAGCUCGGUUGUAAGAGAAGAAAGAGUGUGAGAGUGGAAAGUUCACACUGUGACGGUAGCUUACCAGAAAGGGACGGCUAACUACGUG